UUCUCAUCUCAGGAUCCAGUAGUGGAGGGGAGUAGCGCAUGCCGCCUUUAGGAGAGCCCGGGGCUACAAUGAUCACAGCAUGUGCACCAGCACUAUCAGCUGUGGAAUCAAAAUCAAGAUUUUAGUGAUGCUACCUCGUUUGCACAGAUCAAUUCCCCCAUGCUUCUCAUCGAUGAUUUCAGUACUCCAAAAAAGAAACAAUCAUUUUCUCAAGAGGUCUAUGCAUGCUCGUGCAAGCUUUAACCUCGCGUGAAACUGGAGCCUAUGUUCCUAUUUUCUGAAGCUAGGUAGAUUGAACUGAUAGAGGUAUAGGAGUCCAUGGAGGUUGUCAUCUCUUACAGCAGAUGAAGCUCGAUUACCAGGAAGCACUAAAACAGGAGGCAAACUGAUAGAUAUUUCUCUCAUGUACUAUCGAGAUGCUUGUUGGGCAGCGAUAAUUUCAGUCCUUAACA